UGGACAGAUCCAGCAGGCUAAAAAUCGGUAAGGACAUAGUUGGAUUCAACAUCACUAUCAGUCACCUGGAUAUAAUUGAUAUCUAUGGAUGACAUUAUCCAACAGAAGAAUACACAUUCUUCUCAAGCUCACAUGGAACAUUCAACUGCAUACAUCUUAUUAAACACACCUUGACAAAUUUAAAAGAACAGAAAUCAUAAUUUCUGAUCCCAGAGCACAUGGAAUUAAACAAAAAAACCAAUAACAAAAAAUAACUGAAAAAUUCCAAAAUGCAUGAAGAUUAAGCAACACAUGAGUCAAAGGAGAAAUCUCAAGAGAAAUUUUAAAAUAUUUUGAACUUAACAACAACAAAAAGACUCCCAGGCAAUUUGCCAAAACAGGUUGGAUGCAGUAAAAGCAGUGCUUAGAAGGAAAUUUAUAGUAUUGAAAGCAUAUGUUAGAAAGGAAAAAAGAUCUAAAAUCAAUCAUCUAAGUUUGUAACUUAAGUAACUAGAAAAAGAAGAGCAAAUUAAAUCCAAAGUAAGCAGAAGAAAAGAAAUAUAAGAAUUAGAACAAAAAACAAUGAAAUUGAAAACAAGAAAUUUUUUUAAAAGCUGGUUCUUUGAAAAGAUAAUAUCAGAAAUGAAAGAGGAGACAUCACCAGAAAUACUAGGAACAACUCUAUUCCCACAAACUUGAUAAUCUAGAUGAUAUAGAACAAUUCUUUGAAAGACACAAUUUGCUAGAUCUUACACAUGAAGAAAUAAUCAACUUGAAUAGGUCUGUAUCUAUAUAAAAAUGGAAUCAAUAAUUAAUAACUUCCUAAAAUAGCACCAAGCCUAGAUGAGUUCACUGGUGAAUUCCACCAAAUAUUAAGGAAGAAAUUCUAAUUCUCUAGAAUUAUAGCAUGGAAGCAGAGGUAAUACUUCCUAAUUCAUUCUGUGAAGCAAGAAUUACUAGUGCCAAAGCCAGACAAAGAUGUCAUCAGAAACAAGAUGUGCAGACCAAUAUCUCUCAUGAACAUACAUGCAAAAAUUGUCAACAAAAUAAAAGCAAAUCGAAUCUAGUGAUGAAUAGAAAUAAUUAAAUAAUAUAACCCUGCCAGAUUUAUUCUGGAUAUGCAAGGCAGUUUCAAUACUUGAAAAUCAGUUAAUCUAUCACAUCUAUAAUCUAAGAAAGUAAAACACACAAUCAUAUCAAUAGAUGCAGAAAAUCAUUUUACAAAAUCCAACACCUAUUUGUGGGGAAAAAAAAGAAACCUCUCAGAAAACGAGGAUUAGAGGAGAAUUUCCUCAAUUUCAUAAAAAGUAUCUACAAAAAUGUAUAGCUAAUGUCAGAUUUAAUGGUAAGAAAUUAGAAUAUUUCCCACUAGGAUCAGGAACAAGAUAAGAUGUUUCUGCCUGUCACUCAUUUUCAACACUGUACUGAAAGUAUUAGUUAAUUCAAUAAAAGAAAUAAAAUGUAUACAUUUUGAGAAGGAAGAAAUAAAACUAUCUUGUUCAUAGAUGACAUAAUGGCCUAUGUAGAAACCCUGAAAAAAAAACUGACAAAAAAAACUCCUGGAACUAACAAGUCAUUACAGAAAGAUUGAAAUAUACAAUGUCAAUAUACAAUCGUCAAUAGUUUCUUAUACCAGAAAUAAGUAGAAUUUGAAAAUAAAAGUACAAUACCAUAUACAUUAGCACCCCC
rnacentral:lncRNA from 1 species